CCCCCUGCUGACAACUUUACCCUCAGCACAUCUGUGUGCUGCUCUCCUUUCCUAGUAGAACUGCUCUUGGAUGGAGUCGUCAUUGGAAGUUUCAGGUGACUUGUUUCCUGUUUUACACCUGGUGCAGAUUCACUUUGUUCCCAAACAUAUAAAAGCUUCUGGUUGUUGUGAACCUGCUACAGUACGACCUCUUUAAUAUCUGUUAACAGAUUGUCAGGACAAAGAUGAUCAUGAGCAGAAGGAAUGCCAUGGUCUUGGACAUUCCAUCGUUGGACCACAGGAGAGCUCACCUCUCCAUCACCAGUCCUUCAUCACUCUUGGCAUAUAUUAGAGCUUGGAGAGAAGACAAAUCACUAUCAGCACUCCUCCCCCCUGACUGAUGUGUUGGAUGGAAUGGAGAGAAUGAGAACUGUCUCUAACCUGUGGUGACUCAAGUCUUCAGCUCACCUGUCACUUUGUUGGAGCUUGUCAAGUUACUGUGGCUUAGUUGAAAUAUGUAAAGGUUCACGAACCCGUCUGCAGCAAACUUUUCCAGCUGUCUCUGUGGUCAGCAGUAUCACCUGGAUUCAGGUCAUGCACUUUCUUUUCUGUGGCCUUUGGCAGAGUGUCCUUCACCUGUUUGUCAACAUCAGAGAGUAGAGAAUACACAUUUACACAAUAACAUCUGUAUAUUUAGCUGAAUACAGUGAAAAGAUUUAAGAUUUGGUGUUUUAGCAGCAGCAUUGUGAAUGACUUGCAGUGUUCUUUUUGUGUUGUUAUGGUGGACAGGACGGAGUUUAUUACAGUCGUCCAACCUACAAUAAAUAAAAGCCUGAAGCAGCUUUUCUAAA